rnacentral:ncRNA from 1 species
UUUACUUAGAGUUUGAUCCUAGCUCAGGGUGAACGCUGGCGGUAUGGAUAAGGCAUGCAAGUCGAAUGCCACACCUCUUAGCUUUUGUGCAUAAUGUAGCAAUGCAUUAUGUAUAUCUGCUCAAGAGCAAGAAGAACGGACGAUUGUAUACGGGAUACACCGACGAUUUGAGACAACGAGUCUCAGACCACAAUAGCGGUAAGUCAUCGUACACAAAGAAUAAUCGUCCGUAUGUGCUAGUCUACUACGAAGCGUAUGCUUCAAAGGACGACGCACAAAAGCGAGAACGAAGUCUAAAGCUUCGUUCCAACGCUUCUCUACAGUUGCGACGGCGGAUUAAGUCGUCAAUCAACGAAAGUUAGGAGGUGUGGCAUGGCAGACGAGGUAGUAACACGUAGGAACGUACCCCGAAGUCUCGUAUAGCUCGUCGAAAGACGGGGUAAUCCGAGAUAGUCCCCUUACCACUUUUGCGU